rnacentral:misc_RNA from 1 species
AACGCACAUUGCACCCUGUGGUAUUCCACAGGGUAUGCCUGUUUGAGCGUCAUUUCUCUCUCAAAACAUUAGUUUUGGUAUUGAGUGAUACUCGGGUUUUAGGCUUGAGUUUGCUUGAAAAGUAUUGGCAAGGGAAGUAUUUCUUGUGAAAGCUAUUUAUUCAAUGUAUUAGGUUUAUCCAACUCGUUGAUUGAUAGACGGAACUCGUUUUGCUAUUAGGCCCGGCCUUACAACAAACAAACCAAAGUUUGACCUCAAAUCAGGUAGGAUUACCCGCUGAACUUAA